UGUAAAUUUCGCUUUUAUUGAACUUUAAAUAUGUCUUGUGUUUUGUGCUGUGAAAGAAAGCGCAAAUUGCAGAAGAUGUCCAAUAUAAAACAUUUCUAAAUAUUUAGCUUUCUAGAAAUGAAACUUUACAGGAGUGGCUAAAGGUUCUUUCUAUCGAAAAAGAAAAUUGGGUAUGGACAAAAAAUAACGUAAUUUGCUCUGAACACUUUAAAGCGGAUGAUUUUGUCCCAUUUUGUGGAAGAAAAAUAGUACGACCCAACUCUGCAUCUUCCAUAAAAUUAUUUUGUGGUGUAUCUUCUUCCAUUUUAAACGAGAGUACUUUAUUGAGUUCAAUUAAUACAGGAGCUUUGACCAACAAAUUGAUACAAUCAAGUGAAUCAUCUUUGACCUAUAAUGUUACUGAAGUUCGAGUAGGUACAACGUAAAAAGAAGAGACAACUGGAUUUAAGUGUUCAGAAUACAUCGAAUGGUAACACUAGUACUGAUAGUAGCGCUAAGAGAAGGAGAAUUAUGGCAAUGAAAACAUACUUUAAUGGAUAACUUUAAUAAUGAAAAUAUCUUUGCAGUACAUCUCCUUCUACAGUUGCAACGAAAAAGGUUAAACUGAAACGUAGACAGGAAACUUACUGUUCAGUCUUUACGAAAAGAAAUUAGGGACGGAUUAUUCAAGGCCCUGCAUUAAGACAAAAUUAUUAAAUAAUUAUUUUCAACCAUCAGUAAAUAAAUAUGUUACGUUAUACAGUGUUUUAUUUUAAUAUAC